GAGGAAUAUUGGACAAUGGAGGAAACUCUGAUCCAGCGAUGCCGCGUGAGUGAUGAAGGCCUUCGGGUUGUAAAGCUCUUUCGGGUGUGAAAAUGAUGAUGGUAACACCAGAAGAAGCCCCGGCUAACUCCGUGCCAGCAGCCGCGGUAAUACGGAGGGGGCGAGCGUUGUUCGGAAUCACUGGGCGUAAAGAGUGCGUAGGCUGUUAUACAAGUCAGGAGUGAAAUCCCAGGGCUCAACCUUGGAAUUGCUUUUGAGACUGUAUGACUAGAGAUCUAGAGAGGUUGGGGGAAUUCCGAGUGUAGAGGUGAAAUUCGCAGAUAUUCGGAGGAACACCAGUGGCGUAGGCGCCCAACUGGCUAGAUACUGACGCUGAGGCACGAAAGCGUGGGGAGCAAAC
rnacentral:rRNA from 1 species